rnacentral:rRNA from 1 species
UACAGAGGUCUCGAGCGUUGUUCGGAUUUACUGGGCGUAAAGGGAGCGUAGGCGGUUUGGUGUGUUGAAUGUGAAAUCCCACAACUCAACUGUGGAAAUGCAUUCAAAACUACCGGACUGGAGUACUGGAGAGGAGAGCGGAAUUCUUGGUGUAGCGGUGAAAUGCGUAGAUAUCAAGAGGAACACCGGUGGCGAAAGCGCUCUGCUGGACCAAAACUGACACUCAGGGACGAAAGCUAGGGGAGCGAAUGGG